UUCUCCCGUUUGGUAGCGCUCCGCCCAAUCGGCCGACCCGUGAUAAUCCAACCGGGUUUCAAGCGUCUACAUACUACUAUCAGUGGAAGUGUGCUAAUCGAAUCAGCGGAGGGAGUGGUAUUGUUUUCCUCAUUCGGCCGAUAACGGAGCUCGGGAGGCCAAUUUUACCAAAUUAUCCUCUGAAAUUGCAACGGUUCCCUGGUCGGCGAAGGCCUUUACCCAAUUCCGGUGUCGGCCGACACUCUGGUCCGGUGACCGUCUCUUCUCAAAUCCGGUGAUGGAAGAUCCCCCGGAAGAGAAAGAGAAAGGAGAUGGAGGCUGCGGUAGUCAUGAUCGAGGUUUCUGUAAGAAAUCAGCAGUCAUUGUGAUUGUUGUAAGAAGGAAAUCUGAUGAUGGAGAUGCUCCAUCUGGUUUAUGUUCAUCAGAAAAAUAUUUAUACAACCCAAGAGGAGGGUUCCUCAUACCUAAGUCAGUGAGAGAUAAGCCAUCCCGAGGCAGUUGGUGUAAGGUCUCGCCUUCUGCAUUCAAACUACGGGGCGAAAAUU